rnacentral:rRNA from 1 species
CCUACGGGUGGCAGCAGUGGGGAAUAUUGGACAAUGGGCGAAAGCCUGAUCCAGCCAUGCCGCGUGUGUGAAGAAGGCCUUCGGGUUGUAAAGCACUUUCAGUGGGGAAGAAAGCCUUGGGGCUAAUACCCUCGAGGAAGGACAUCACCCACAGAAGAAGCACCGGCUAACUCCGUGCCAGCAGCCGCGGUAAUACGGAGGGUGCGAGCGUUAAUCGGAAUUACUGGGCGUAAAGCGCGCGUAGGCGGUCUGAUAAGCCGGUUGUGAAAGCCCCGGGUCAACCUGGGAACGGCAGCCGGGACGGAGCGGUGAAGGUGCAAGGAAGGAAGGGAGAAGGCCCUGGGGAGGGGGGAAAUGUGGACAGACCGGGAGGAAGAAGAGGGGAGAAGGAGGACUUAUGGACUGACACGGACGAUGGGGUGCGAAAGCGGGGGUACAAACCAGGGUUAGAUACCCUAGUAGUG